rnacentral:rRNA from 1 species
UACGUAGGGGGGCAAGCGUUGUCCGGAUUUAUUGGGCGUAAAGAGCGUGUAGGCGGCCACACAGGUCUGCUGUGAAAACUCGAGGCUCAACCUCGAGCUGUCGGUGGAAACCGUGUGGCUAGAGUCCGGAAGAGGAGAGUGGAAUUCCCGGUGUAGCGGUGAAAUGCGCAGAUAUCGGGAGGAACACCUGUGGCGAAAGCGGCUCACUGGACAGUAACUGACGCUGAUGCACGAAAGCUAGGGGGAGCAAACAGG